rnacentral:pre_miRNA from 1 species
UUAACUCAAAUUUGUAUGUAGUUGGAACGUUUGCCUACGUUUGCCGCUAGGGGCGCUGUUCUAACUGAACUGAUUUGUUCCA